GCAGGCGCUCCAUCAUGUAGACCGGUGUGCGGGCUCCCUCUGUCUGCACCAACUCGACUCACUUUUGGAGCGGACCUACUACCACAGAUGCUCGUGACACCGAAGACAACAAAACAAACAAAAUGAUAACGAAUAAGGCAAUGAUUCUUUUCUACAGUUAAAGUGCCAAUGACAGACAGAGAGAUAAAUCAGGCCAGACCAAUGCACAGUUUGGUGGGUCGCUCGCCGGCGCCCCCUCCUGAGCUGAGGCCUGUCUACGCCUCGUCUUGGAUCACAUGAACAAACUCGGGGAACGCAUAAAUCCUCUUGUCAGUGGUGACCAAAGUGGGAUCCGUGGACUCCUGCGGGGCACAGAAGCAUUGCAGGAGAGCCCCCAAAGAAAGCAAGAAAGGGGCCCUACGUGAUUUUCACAUCGAUAGAAGGGCCACGGAACAGCAGACUCUGGGAAUGGCUGCCUUAUUGCAUCUUUAACAUGACCUAACCAGUUACAGUAAUUGUUGUAUUGUUUAUGGCACAACAAUGACAUUAGACCCUGUUCUCUUCAUAUAUAUGUGCAUAAAUCCAUAUAUUAUUACAGUGAAGUGAAAUGGCCUGUUUGCCUGAGGGAGAUAAUUUCUAAUCCUCAGUGUUUCUUCUGCCUUUAAACUCAGAUCACUUGGUCUGUUCGUGGCCUUAAUGCACUGAGCGCUGUGUUUUGAAGCGGCAACUUAAGAGGGCACAGAGAAGAGAGUUUACAAACCAGCAAAGACAAUUUAGGUUAAAAGUGUACGAGAAAGUGGAUAAUGUAUGCUAGAUCUUUGUAAGGAUACUGUCAAUAUGUAAUUAUAGGAAAUACAACAAUUAUGCUGAGCCUGUGGGGUAUGGCAGGUGACCAUUCUAAUAUUUUGUGUUUAUUUCUCAUUAGUAUCUAUGCAUUUAGUCAUCAUUUUUGUCUCCAAUGAAUGACAAAAUUAUUAUUAUAACUGCAAAACACUGAUCACUGAAUGUAUAUAAGAUAGUGCUGACAAGUCGCCAAGACAACCAGCAUUAAAAAGUUGCACGAUGUAACUUUUCUGGUAAAUAAUUGAAGUUUAACUGAAUAAAUAAAAAAAUACAUAUGUUUAAUGUCAUACUGUGGAACAUUCUAGGAAAAUCAACAUCGCCAUGGUCACAAGCAGAUGGCAGAUGCUUAUCCCCACCAGAAAAGUUGCAUAGUGCACCUUAAAAAACAAAAACAAACAUGAAUUAAUAAUAAUACAUUUUACAUACUAAGAACAAAUUCUCCACAUUGACUAACUGCCCAAAACUCAACUUUACUUCCUGGAAAUGCGAUUAACAGGAAUAACGUGAAAGAGGUCUAGACAGGAUUUUAAAACAAUAAUAUCACCUAUUACCUAAAGUGCAGAGUCAUCACCGUCUGCGCUGAGUCUUAUGAGGCUAAAUUUACUAAAGAAACCACCAUCUGCUCUGCUGCUCAAACGUAAUCCCCCAGGGCCCUGUGAAAAGAGGUGAGCUGCAGUGACACAGAGCAGCCACAAGAGGGGGCACUACCUGAAGAUAAACAAAAACAAGGCAAUAGAGUUAGGUCUUGUCUGGAUUAGAGAAUCAUUUUAUAAUUUAACUGUGGAAGUAAAACAGGAAUAAAGUCAUAUAGGAAAAAUUACACUGAAAAAGCUGAUACCUGCUCUUGGCUUUUAGCUUCCUGUGACAUUUUGGGGAGUUUUCACAAUUCAAAAUAUACAAAUGUUUUGUUUUAAAUUGUUAAUUAGGCAAGAGACCUAAUUUUUCAUAAUUUUGAAACACAUGUUUAUGUUUUAUUUGCUCAUUUAACAAAGAAUGGGGAUAAUAAUAGCAUUUAUUUGAGCAGAUUUGAGUAUAGCAGAUUACUCGUGCUGACUGUCCCACUUGAGUUGUGACGCGUGCUGCUAAUUGUUCGGCUGUCACUCCUAUAACCCCAGGCAUGAAUUCUCUCUCCUUCUUCUCUUCCCUUCUCUCUCUCUCUCUCUCAGGCUCUCCUUUCCUCCUUUCUCACUAUCCAGUCUCUUCUCUCCUCUUUCUCUCCAUCUCCCCCUCUGUCUCUCCGCCCUUUUCUCUGUAUCUCUCCAUCUCUCUCACCACUUCCCUCUCUCUCUCCAUCUAACUCGUGCUCUCUUGCUCUACUCUCCCACUCUCUUUCUCUCCCUCUUCUCCCCCUCCCUCUCUCCCCCUCUCUCUCUCU